UGGGGAAUAUUGCACAAUGGUGGGAACUCUGAUGCAGCGACGCCGCGUGAACGAAGAAGGCUUUCGAGUCGUAAAGUUCUUUUAUAUGGGAAGAUAAUGACGGUACCAUAAGAAAAAGCCCCGGCUCACUACGUGCCAGCAGCCGCGGUAAUACGUAGGGGGCUAGCGUUGUCCGGAAUCACUGGGCGUAAAGGGUUCUCAGGCGGAAAUGCAAGUCAGGUGUAAAAGGCAGUAGCUUAACUACUGUAAGCAUUUGAAACUGCAUAUCUUGAGAAGAGUAGAGGUAAGUGGAAUUUUUAGUGUAGCGGGGAAAUGCGUAGAUAUUAAAAAGAAUAGCGGUGGCGAAGGCGACUUACUGGGCUCAUUCUGACGCUGAGGAACGAAAGCGUGGGUAGCAAACAGG
rnacentral:rRNA from 1 species